GAGGAUGUAGCUCAAUAGUAGAGUGCUUGUCUAGCAUGUAUAAGAUCCUGGGUUUGAUCCCCAGCACUACCA
rnacentral:tRNA from 1 species